UCGCCAUCGUCAAUGGCACGUCCGUGGGGUCGGCGCUCGCGGCCACCGUGAUGUUCGACGCCAACAUCCUCGCCGUCCUGUCCGAGGUGCUCUCGGCGGUGUUCUGCGAGGUGAUGAACGGCAAGCCGGAGUACACCGACCACCUGACCCACAAGCUGAAGCACCACCCUGGGUCGAUCGAGGCCGCCGCCAUCAUGGAGCACAUCCUCGCCGGAAGCUCAUACAUGAAAAUGGCGGC
rnacentral:misc_RNA from 1 species